rnacentral:lncRNA from 1 species
UCUCAGCCAUGGUUGCAUACCUUCCAAGCUCCACCGCCUCUUCUUCCUCGUGGGCAGAUCCCUGAUUUUGUGUAGGACAGCACUUGAAAUGUAUUUGUGUGCUCAACAUUGGUUUCCUCUCUGGAACCUGGGAUCACUUCAGGGGUGGACACGUGGCCCAACCAUGACUGAUGAGACAUGCGGGGAAAUCUGCAGAGGCAACUUCUAGGAAAGGUUGGGCUCUUGCAGCCACCCUGUGACUAUGAGGACUAUGAAGGGCUGAAGAUUUACUCUACUUGAGAACGAACCAGCAUUCUGACCACAAUGCCAGAAGACAAUACGGAAUUACUCAGUACAUGAAGCACCAGGAAGAUGACAACAGAAGAGAGAGGACCCAGACAUUGGAAUCAGCAGCCACCAGGUGCAAUCUCCAACAUGUGCGGGCUUUGGGAAAACACAAUCGGGCAAGUGAAGUUUGUUGCAGACAAGUUCUUCUUCCCCUCUGCCACAACCUCCUCCAAGGUUACAGGGAGAGCACCCUGUCUGUGAAGAAGCAGGUUCUCAUCUGAUACCAAAUCUGCUGGCACCUUGAUCUUGGACUUCCCAGACUCCAGGACUGAAGAUCACAGAUUGACAUCAGCAGGAAAACUUGCCAGGCAGCAGGAGGAUCCAUUUGAAAACUCACGAGAAAAAGGCCCUUGAGGCCUUUUUCCUGGUUAUUGAAGACAUCUUAGGAAACACUUAUGGUGACAAUUAAUCAAGCAAAAAUAGAUCCAGUUUUUCUGAAGAUCAAGCUUAACAUGUGUGCCAUGCUUUAAAAUGUCUUUCCAGGCACUCUCUCCUGCCCACGGAUCUUGCUUGGGAAAGGAAUGGGGCAAGUGGAAAUGGCCAUUUCUUAGAUGAACACAUCAGGGACUUGCUCCAGUCUGAAGUCUAUACAGAGCUAGGCUUUGAAUCCAGUCACGUAACUGCAUAGCAGCAAAUCAGCCUUUCAGAAUAUUGCAGGAUCAGCAAUGAAAUUCCCUUUGCCAGAGAAAUGGACAAACAAGGAAGCAACAAUGGUGAUGGUGGAAGUGUUCUUCAAGUCUAAGUUUGGGUUCUAGAAACAUCUGGCCAAAUAACGUCUUUCACAACUAAAAUAGAAUAUAAAGAAGCCAUUUGACCUGCCUCAGUUAUCAUGGUCAUCAUGACAAGCUGCAGCAGGACAAAUCAGCUUAACAAUUUCGGAAACUGCCAGAAAUGCUAUUUGGAUUAAUUUUUAUUUGGGAGUUGGCUAAAACUGGUCACAUCCCCAAAUACCUCAAGAUAAACAACAUAGCAUUAUCAUACAAAUCUAUAUUCACCAAAUUAGGUUAAAAUAGGCUGUUUUGAGAAGGUUGAAUUUUUUUAUGGGGAUUAUUCCCAAAAUACGUUUAGACACAAGAAGUUCAACUUUUCUUUUUUCCAUAUUUGAUGUCAAUCAAACUAAUUACUACAUGUUUGGAAUUGCAUUAAUUGUAUUCUUCAGUUACCUAUAAAAUUUAAUUAUCAUGUCUUUAUGGAAAUUUUAAUAUCAGAUAUAAAGAAUGGCAUAUUUAAAAUGACAUUUUAAUACUUUAUAAGAAGCAACAGAAAUUCGACUUCCAAAGCACCUCUCAGUACUACCAUUGGAGUACAUCUAUAUUUUUCUGUCAGAAUACUAUCCAAAGCAAGCAUAAGUAAUCCUUAUUUUCACGAUACAUUGAUGCUCAAAAGUUGUGUGUUCAGCAUGUCUACAAAGUAAAUUACCGUAUAUUUGAAACAGCAGACUAAAACUGAAGUAACAUCUGGAAAAAAUUGCCCUAAUUGCUAGCCCCUAAAUUCAUCUGACCUUGACACUCUCAUCUGAAUUUAAAAGUGUUUUAAAUUCUUAGCCAAUCAAUUCAAGCCAGAACUGAAUUCAUAUGUCUUCAGAAACUGCUAAUCUAGAACAAUGUAACUAGAAUAGAUUCCUGAUCAAACUUUGGUUUUGUUCAGGUAUCCACUCAUUUCCUAGGUGACCCAGAGGCCACAACUCACAACUCCACCCCUUCCCGUGGCUGGUCCAGGCUGUGCAGAUCUUGUAGUCACAAAGUCCUGGCAAUGGGCUGGGGGUGGGAUCUGACCUAGUGCUGACCAACAUGUCAAAAACAGAUGGCUGCAGAACCCUCUGGAAAAGCUUCCCUCAUUCUUAAGGAAUCCUGUGAAGAGAUGGUCUGUUUCUGUCCUGUUCCCUGGAUGUCAAAUGUCUGGGUUUGAGACCCAGAACUCCUGAAGCCAUCUCACAACUACAAGGGGAGCAGAUGUAGCCACUGAGGAUGGCCAAGCAGAGGGAGGGAGGACCUUUCCUGCCAGCAUCGCCAGCGGCUGAAUCACAGCCCAGAACCCCACAGCACCCUAAACGUCCUCUUAACAAAUGUAAUACGUUGUCUUACUGUUUGUGCCUGUGUGAAAAGUCCUCUUUGCUUGCAGUGAAGGCAUCCUAGUUGAUAAACAUGAAAUUUGAAAAUUGGAGAUUUCUUGGAACCAACA